rnacentral:rRNA from 1 species
GGCUCAAGCAACUGUUUAGCAAAAACACAGUGUCUAUGCGAAACCGAAAGGUGAAGUAUAUGGGCUGACGCCUGCCCGGUGCUGGAAGGUUAAGAGGAGAGGUUAGCUUCGGCGAAGCUUUGAAUUUAAGCCCCAGUAAACGGCGGCCGUAACUAUAACGGUCCUAAGGUAGCGAAAUUCCUUGUCGGGUAAGUUCCGACCCGCACGAAAGGCGUAAUGAUUUGAGCACUGUCUCGACAAUGCAUCCGGUGAAAUUGAAGUACCAGUGAAGAUGCUGGUUACCCGCGCCAGGACGGAAAGACCCCAUGGAGCUUUACUCCAGUUUGAUACUGGGAUUCGGUACUGCAUGUACAGGAUAGGUGGGAGACGGAGAAGGAUGGACGCCAGUCUGUCCGGAGUCGCUGUUGGGAUACCACCCCUGUAGUACUGGGUUUCUAACCAGUUGCCAUGAACUGGCAAUGGGACAAUGUCAGGCGGGGAGUUUGACUGGGGCGGUCGCCUCCGAAAGGGUAUCGGAGGCGCUCAAAGGUUCCCUCAGAAUGGUUGGAAACCAUUUGAAGAGUGCAAAGGCAGAAGGGAGCUUGACUGCGACACCGACGGGUGGAGCAGGUACGAAAGUAGGACUUAGUGAUCCGGUGGUAUAAAGUGGGAUUGCCAUCGCUCAACGGAUAAAAGCUACCCUGGGGAUAACAGGCUUAUCACUCCCAAGAGUUCACAUCGACGGAGUGGUUUGGCACCUCGAUGUCGGCUCAUCGCAUCCUGGGGCUGAAGUAGGUCCCAAGGGUUGGGCUGUUCGCCCAUUAAAGCGGUACGCGAGCUGGGUUCAGAACGUCGUGAGACAGUUCGGUCCCUAUCCGGCGUGGGCGUAGGAUAUUUGAGAGGAGCUGGCCUUAGUACGAGAGGACCGGGCUGGACUGACCGCUGGUGUAUCUGUUGUUCCGCCAGGAGCAUGGCAGAGUAGCCAAGUCAGGAAGGGAUAAACGCUGAAGGCAUCUAAGCGUGAAGCCCCCCUCAAGAUGAGAUAUCCCUACGUAAGUAGUAAGACCCCUUGAAGACGACAAGGUAGAUAGGGCAGAGGUGGAAGUGCAGUAAUGCAUGGAGCUGACUGUUACUAAUCGGUCGAGGGCAUAACCAA